GAGGUGAACCUGCGGAAGGAAUGAUAUU
rnacentral:rRNA from 1 species